rnacentral:rRNA from 1 species
UGGGGAAUAUUGCACAAUGGGCGCAAGCCUGAUGCAGCCAUGCCGCGUGUGUGAAGAAGGCCUUCGGGUUGUAAAGCACUUUCAGCGAGGAGGAAGGUGGUGAACUUAAUACGUUCAUCAAUUGACGUUACUCGCAGAAGAAGCACCGGCUAACUCCGUGCCAGCAGCCGCGGUAAUACGGAGGGUGCAAGCGUUAAUCGGAAUUACUGGGCGUAAAGCGCACGCAGGCGGUUUGUUAAGUCAGAUGUGAAAUCCCCGGGCUCAACCUGGGAACUGCAUUUGAAACUGGCAAGCUAGAGUCUCGUAGAGGGGGGUAGAAUUCCAGGUGUAGCGGUGAAAUGCGUAGGGAUCUGGAGGAAUACCGGUGGCGAAGGCGGCCCCCUGGACGAAGACUGACGCUCAGG